UCUAGAAGCUUCUUUCUGGGUACAAAGACAUGUGUGACCCGGGGGGGGAUUUUUCUAGCUUCUUUGGCUUCCUCCACUGAAAUUUCCCAGGUAGGGUCCAUGUCGGCAAGGCCUGCUGGAUCAAUCUGGCUGUUUCUUUUGCUGUGAUGGGAUCCCAGCCCUCCCAGUAAAGUUAGGACCAGGAUGGUUCCCAGCGUCCUUUCUGAUAUGGACCCUGUUCCUGCCUUGUGGCGCCUAGGCUGCCUCCAGGCUGCCCAGCUCCUCUGAGCCUCUGGUGCUGCAGCACCCAACGGCAGCUGGUGUUUACUCGAGCCUCCUGCCCAGCCCCAGCUCUCAAUCUCCACAGUCUCUAACUAGAACGCCUGCUGUCCUUUCUACUUCACAGCAGGGAGGAAAUGGAGGUUCAGGGAGGACCAGGAAUUCUUCUCAGCUGAGGUGGUGGGCGUCGUGCAGAUCUGCACCCACGCCAUUGCACCUCGUCCCAAACUUCCGUUUGGCCAUCUGUCUUCCAGAAACCCUCUGACAGCACAUCCGGCAGAUGCCUUGGGGUGUUCCCCUAGACUUGCGUGGAAGUCAAAACACGCUGGCGUUUCAGAGAGAGGAACUUGAGGGAGAUCCUCUGCUCUGCCCCUGGGGAAGCUGUGUACCGGCUGCUGGUGUGUGCCUGGCAUCCCCACCACCUCAGGGGCUGAGCGGAUGCCUCCCCCUCCCUGGCCUCCAGGGUUUUCCUCAAGGCAUGUCUGUGUGGCGGGGAAGUCCACUGGUCUGCCUGUGAAAUGGCCGUCAAACUCUCAGACCUUUGGGGUCCCGGUGUACACCAACAGAUUGAGAGGAAGCCCCAAGAUCCCCAGGACCACCGUGGGGAUGCUGAGCAAGUGAUGGCCAAGACAGGGGCUGGAGACAGGAGCAGACCCCAGCCCUUCCCCAAGUCCACGUCAGCAUCAGCACUCUACCUUCAGCUUGGAGGAGCUGAGACCCUGGAGGAGCUGAGACCCUGGAGUAGCUGAGACCCUGGAGGAGCUGAGACCCUGGAGUAGCUAAGACCCUGGAGGAGCUGAGACCCUGGAGGAGCUGAGACCCUGGAGUAGCUGAGACCCUGGAGGAGCUGAGACCCUGGAGUAGCUAAGACCCUGGAGAAGCUGAGACCCUGGAGAUGCUGAGGCCUUGCUCCCUUUCCUUGCUAUCUAAACAGCCUGCUGAGACACCUCCUUUGACUCCCCGCAGUCACAGGAGUCACAGUGGCCCAGCCUUGGGCUCUCAGAGUCAAGGACACCAAAGAGGAAACAAGACUGGCUGUACUCACUUGUGCACUAGAGAAUAAAACUGCAGAGAAGCGGAGACACUGACACGCCCUGAAUGUCUUUAGGAUUCCACACACUGUCAUUUGAAAAGAACCAGGCAGGCUGUACGCUGUGAGAUCGUAACCACAGGCCAUCUGGAAAAGGCAGAGGGGCCGACAGUAAACUGUCAGUGGUUGUCUGGGACGCAGGGCAGGGGUGGGCGGUGGGGAGACAGGAGUGGAGGAAGGAAGAGUGCUUAGAGCUGGGAAGAGCGGGGACACUGCAGACACUGUCACUUGGGACACUUGCAGUUCUACCUUUCCCUAAAUGCCUAGAAUACCCAACUCAUUAGUGUGCCAGUGUCCCUUCCCAGUACAACAGUCACAGGGGGUCCCCAUGGGGAGGGGACUGGAGGGGCCAUGUGAGUCUUUCUGUAUACUUGUCCAUUUUUUAUUUUUGUAAAACUAAAACUGCUCUAAGA